rnacentral:rRNA from 1 species
AUUGAACGCUGGCGGCAUGCCUUACACAUGCAAGUCGAACGGCAACACGGGUGAUUGCCCCUGGUGGCGGGUGGGGAACGGGCGGGUAAUACAUCGGAACAAGUCUUGUAGUGGGGGGGAGCCCGGCGAAGGCCGCGUUAAUACCGCCUACGAAAUGCGGCUGAAAGAGGGGGACCUUCCGGCCUCGCGCUUUCCGUUUGGCCCAUGUCUGAUUAGCUAGUUGGUGGGGUAAGGGCCUACCAAGGCGACGAUCAGUCGCUGGUCUGAGAGGACGACCAGCCACACUGGAACUGAGACACGGCCCAGACUCCUACGGGAGGCAGCAGUGGGGAAUUUUGGACAAUGGGCGAAAGCCUGAUGCAGCAAUGCCGCGUGUGUGAAGAAGGCCUUCGGGUUGUAAAGCACUUUUAGCCGGGAAGAAGGCAGUGGCCCUAAUACGUUCGCGGAUUGACGGUACCGGAAGAAGAAGCACCGGCUAACUACGUG